ACUUUCUUAGGAUAGAAGCAAUCCGUUGGUCUUAGGAACCGAAAAAUUGGUGCAACUCCAAAUGAAAGUA
rnacentral:tRNA from 1 species